rnacentral:lncRNA from 1 species
AGCCCAUGGUAUAUUCCUGGUCUCGGGGCAAGCAGUGAGCCAGCACCCUGAAGGGUGGGCUCAGGAGAAGUGUAAACCACAGACACACGGCUAGCCCCUGGGUUGGUGAGAGCCCUAGGAACCCAGGGACGGGCUUUACUUCAGAGAUUCCCCAGCAGAAAAGGGUGGUGUGGUUCUUAGCAACCCUAGCCUCAGCUGACUUUGGACAGCCAGCACAUGUCCCUGCCACUCCUAGACAUCUCCAGUCAGCUGGUACAGCCAGUGGGUGGGACGGGCUUGAAUGCUCAAUGGCAGGCUGUACUGAAGGAUGUAGAUGUGCAGUCAAGAAAGGUCCCUGCCUCCUCAAGCCCUGUAUUUUCCUGGCCUUCACUCUGAGUCCUGCUCUGUCACAGGGCAGGCAGGACCCUGGCCCUCUUUCAUAGUCCCCAUGUCCUUGCCACCAGCUCUGGACUUGUUGGUUCCAACAAGAACAGAACUCUGGGUGGUCUAGGGAGACACAAGGACCUUCCCCAGUGCCAAAGCUUAUCGGGGUAAUCCUCUGGGGAGCUCACCCCAGUCUGGGUGACCCUUUGAGGAGUCCACCCCAGUCUGAGUGAUCCUCUGGGGAGCUUACCCCAGUCUGGUUGCCUCGCCCUUCCCUCUCCACCCAUAUUUGCCUCCACUGUAUAUAUCCCUGUCAUCUUAGGACCCUGUGCCAUGUACAAGGGGUGACAGAAGAGCCUGGAGACCGCAGUCUCAGUGAUCUGUUGUGAUGGCGAAGGCCAAUUCAGUCCUUGGACCAACAGCAGCACCCCUGGGUGUGGCCACCCGUCUACAGACUGUAACCCCAAGUUUAAAAGCACCUGCUGUCAGGGGAUCUUAGCCAAGCCCCAUUCUUUAAGAUCACUUCCAGGAAGGGAGACGUCACCACCCCUAAGUACUCCCCUACAGCUUCCCAUCCCCCGUGCGGCCCCUCCAGAUCACUGCAGCUCAGCUGCGGGAGCCCUCGGCUAGAACCGGGGCCUGUACCCAGCCCUCCCGCUCCUGUCUCCAGGGCUGCCUUCUCCCCCACCUACUGUGUUCAGCCUAGUGCCGUGCUCGCCCUUAGUGCUCAGAGCUGUCUACUUGAAGCCUCAAGAAUGUGGUCCAUAGGGAAAGCUGGCCUGCCUCCCACCCAUGUCAUCACCAGCAGCUCUACCAUGGGGGACAAAUGCGUGUGGCAGAUGAAUCUUGGCGCCGCCGUGGCUUUGGGGAUGGGGGAAGUGUUGAAAGUGACCAGAUCAAGGGAAUGUGCAGUGGCGGUGUCCCCCGAGGGCCCAUGCUAGUUUCUGAGUCAGCAGGCCAGGUGGAAGCCAGUUUCUAGGAAGAGUGUCUUCUCCACAUUCAGAGAACUGUGCCUGUUGCCUAGGUGCCUGUGGCCAAGUCCUGUGCCCUGUGCCCAUGUCCAUUCCAAGAAUCUUCCCUUUAAGCAUAGGCAGAGGCCUCUGAGCUGUGGAGAGUGCUGCUGGGCUCUGUACGGGGGCGGGAAUGGAAUCCUCCCAUUCCGAGCCACUCAUUAGUAGUAUUGGCCUUCAGCCUUUCUCGAUCCCUUCGGUGGAUGGAGCCCCUAGAUCCUGGCGCCCUGUCCCCUAGUCCCCUCUUGUGUGCCAUGCAGAAGAUCUCCAUCGUCUCAGCCUCGAAGCCAGGCCCACAUACUGUGGGGGCUGGAGGCUCCUGACCUGUGUGGUCUGCACUGGGUAGCACUGAGUGCCCUGUUCAACCCCAUCCCCAGGAUGUCCACAGAGGUUGACAGUGCUUCACUCCGACCCUUGCCUCCUGCAGAGAAUACUGCCACAGAGGUGUGCCUGUGAUUCCCACGUACUGCAUGCUAUAGCCAGUGAGACCAGGGUGCACGCUCCUGACCUCCUCCCCUUCAUCUGACCCAGGCUCUUGACAUGGAGAUCCACUACACCCAGGAGAGACCCUUCCAGAUCUUCCCUCCUGACCCAGUAGUAGCCUGUCACCCUCUUCUAAAGAUCCUGAGGGCACAGAGCAUUUUCCAGCUGCCACCCCUCUUUUCUGGGCCUCCUGGUAAGCUCCAGGUGUGUGGCUUCCAGGAACCCAGUCCUGAGGCUCCAGCUCCAUUGUAUCUGAGGCACUGAGACAAGCACCCUCCAAGGUGGUAAUCCCAUCAAGGUACAAGCUAAAGAAAGUUCCAGCAUCCCAAAGGACAGGGCCAGGGCUGUAAUCAGGCUUCCCCACACCCCACCGCCCAGUAAGGAGAGCCUUGUACACAUCUGCUUAGAGAGCGGGGCUCAGCCUCACAGACAUCCCCCACCCCCUGUGCCAGAUUAUGGCCAUGUCAAAGAGGGAGCCGGAAGAAAACCAGAAUUUAUGGCCCCCACUCAAAAGUCCUGGGCCUCUAGGCAGAGUGCUCUACCCUCUGACAGACACAAAAGGCCACUAACAGAAACAGCACCCUUCCCAGCAACCCUCAUGUCCUCCUCCCGCCCGUCCCCUCAGCCUCCUGCACCAGCCACAGUUGCCUGCCCAGCAUGGACAGCAGCUGUACACUUCCUGUGUUCUCCCUGACUUCCGACUUGACCCCUGUGGCCUAUGCGCACACACCCUCAAGUCCCAGGCCAGAGGCUGGGCACCCUACGUUCCCCUUAGCAGCCUUGGGUGUACCAACCCCACCCCCUGACCCACCGCCAUCACCUACCCUCACCUCAUUAACUGUAAUUUUGUAAGAAGAGUGACUUGCUGGUUAAUAAAUACCUAGUUAUUGUAAUAAUUUAUUGGCUGCCAUAAUGUAUUUAUUAGUAACCCACCAUUAAUAAAAAGUGCCAGCUCUUUCUAGC